rfam:Oryza meridionalis cultivar OR44 (W2112) chromosome 5, whole genome shotgun sequence.
AAUAAAUACAGUUUUACACUAUUCAUGUCCUACAUUUGACUGUUCGUCUUAUUUGAAAUUUUUUAUGAUCAAUAUUAUAUUGAUAUUAGAUGAUAAAACAUGAACAUACUUGAUGUGUGACUAAUUUUUUUUUAAUUUUUUUCAUAAAUUUUUUUAAUAAGACGAACGGUUAAAUGUUGGACACAGAUACUCAUGGCUGUACUUAUU